UAACGGUUAUUUCAAAACAACAUUGGGCUUCGUAAAUCGUGAUUCGUGACAAUCAACGACGGAGAUUCGUUUCCGAUCACGGUGGUGGAGGAGUGCUUUGCCGUGAGACUAGAGAUGGUGACGUGUGUGCUCGGGAGUCAGGCCUAGGCUGCAAUUCUUCAAAGCCCAAUAAUAUCAAUUCCAGCCCAUUAUUAGUCAGGAAGGAAAGAAAAGAAAGGAAGAGAGAAGAAAAGAAAAGUAAAGUUAGAAGAAGAAAAAAUUCUACCAUGUAUUUUUUUUUUUUGUCAUAUUCUACCAUGUAUUUGUGGUAUGAAAUUUGUUACUUGUUUUUUGUAAAAGUGGAGGAAAUGAGAAGAAAAGAUAUUAUUUUGCUGGAAGAAAAAAUCUUUUUGACCAGUGAAAUAAUUGAAGAACUGAGAAUAUUUUGUUUUCUUCUCACUUCUUUUCUUCUAUAUAUGAUAACCAGUCAUACCCUAUGUUUGGCGUAUUCGAUAUUUUAUAUCUGAUUAAUGAAGUUUAGAUUUUCCUCUUUA